GGCAGACGGGUGAGUAACGCGUGGGAACCUUCCCUUUGGUACCGGAAUAACUUCUGGGAAACCGAAGCUAAUACCUGUAUAAAGUCCUUCGGGAGAAAGAUUUAUCGCCCAAGGAUGGGCCCGCGUUGGAUUAGCUAGUUGUAGGGUAAAGGCCUACCAAGGCUACGAUCCAUAGCUGGUCUGAGAGGAUGAUCAGCCACACUGGGACUGAGACCCGGCUCCAGAAUUCCAAACGGGAGGCAGCCGUGGGGAAUAUUGGACAAUGGGGGCAACCCCUGAUCCAAGCCAUGCCGCGUGAGUGAAGAAGGCCUUAGGGUUGUACAAGCUCUUUUGGCGGGGACGAUAAUGACUGGUACCCGCAGAAGUAAGCCCCGGCUAACUUCGUGCCAGC
rnacentral:rRNA from 1 species